rnacentral:rRNA from 1 species
GCAAGUCGAACGGUAACAUGAGAGCUUGCUCUUGAUGACGAGUGGCGCACGGGUGCGUAACGCGUAUGCAACCUACCCUUAACUGGAGGAUAGCCCGGAGAAAUUCGGAUUAAUACUCCAUAGUACAAUUCGAUAGCAUUUGAAGAUUGUUAAAGCUUCGGUGGUUAAGGAUGGGCAUGCGUUAGAUUAGCUAGUUGGUAAGGUAAUGGCUUACCAAGGCUACGAUCUAUAGGGGGUCUGAGAGGAUGAUC